AAGUUCAACUAGAAAACAUGUCCUGCAUUGGAUCCCAUCAGAACUCCACAGUUAAGCACGCUUGGGAUAUAGUAGUACUGGGAUGGGUGACCUCUCGGGAAGUCCUAGUGUUGCACCCU
rnacentral:rRNA from 1 species